CGGGGCGUAGCGCAGUCUGGCGAGCGCGUCGGUUUUGGGAACCGAAGGUCCCCGGUUCAAAUCCGGGCGCCCCGA
rnacentral:tRNA from 1 species